GGUCUGUUGGUCUAGUGGUAUGAUUCUCGCUUAGGGUGCGAGAGGUCCCGUGUUCGAUCCACGGACAGACCC
rnacentral:tRNA from 2 species